GAACGCUAUGAUGGCAGAGAGGUCACACCCGUUCCCAUACCGAACACGGAAGUUAAGCUCUCUAGCGCCGAUGGUAGUUGGGACCUUGUCCCUGUGAGAGUAGGACGUUGCCAGGC
rnacentral:rRNA from 1 species